rnacentral:snRNA from 1 species
AUCGCUUCUCGGCCUUUAUGGCUAAGAUCAAGUGUAGUAUCUGUUCUUAUCAGUUUAAUCAUAUAUAUGUGUGUGUGUGUGUAGUUGACAUAUUGCUGCAAAUACAUACUGUGCUAUAAAGUAGUCAUAAUUUCUGAUAGCAAAAUUCAUGACUGAAUACACAAAUAUUUCACACUGCAA